GAAACUGGGGUAAUGUGUUUAGAACUUCUCAGAAGUAUGCAUUUAAAAAUCUGUUAAAAAAAAAAUUUGAAGUUAUAUAAAGAAAACUUAUUGUAACUUACUUAGUGUACUUCAGUACCUAUUUCUCCCAGUUUCUAUUUAAUGCAUCAGGUGUAAUGACUCAAGAGUUUUCAAAGCAGCAGCUCCAUGUUGGAAAUGUCAUGUCCAGGGCUCUUGUGUAGAGUUACAGCUGUCAAGAAUCUAACCUGGAGAGCAGAGAAUAGAAGGGGUUGUGUUUCAAAGGACCAUGGAAUCAUUAGAAUUCUUGGAGUUGGAAGGGAUCUUUAAAGGUCGUCUUGUCCAACUCUCCUCCACAAUGAACAUGGACACCACAGCUAGAUCAGGUUGCCCUGGGCCUGAUCUGGUCUUACCUUCGAAGUCUCCAGGGACAGAGCAUUCACAGCAUGUCUGGGUAACCUGUCUCAGUGCCUCACCACCAUCACUGUAAAAGACCUUUCUUAUAUCCAACUACUGAAAUCUACCCCCUUUACUCCUGAAACAAUUUACCCUUAUUUUAUCAGAACGGUUUCCAAUUUAAAGAAAAAUUUCUUGUCUCUGCUCCUAUAUAGCUCAUUUCUUUGUAAUUUCAAAGCCUUAAGUAUUAAUCAUAUCUCUAUUUGGUUGGAGUUACACAACUAAUUUCUGAAAUCUGAGCAGAGAUCACAUGUGUAUCCAGAAGGAAAUGUCUGCAUUAGGUAUUGUUUUGCUCAGAAAUGGAGCUAUUCCGUCUCUGCUCUGCAGCUACCUUUGUUUUGAAAUUCAGGGUUAAAAACCCACGCUGAACAAUGGAGGAAAAAGAAACCCACAAUCUGAUGCGUAAGAAACUGUGAAAUAAAGGCAUUUGUUAUAAAGUUGUUAUAAAGGCAUUAAUAUUGCCCUUGGAGUUAAUUAAGAAAAUUCUGUGAAUAAUUACACACCUUUUUCAGCAAUAUCCUUCAAAUCAGAGAUGGUUUCUUGUUUAUUUUUCUUUUUAAGAAUACUCUCUGAAGCAUAGGAAUACAGCAAAUAGUUUUUCCUCCACUACUGUACAUUGGCUUUCACUUUUUUCACUACGAUAUGCAGAUAUGAAAUGCAGCUAAUGCUUGCUCUGAAAGGGACGGCUCAAUAAUAUCUGAGAAAUUUACUGGCUCCAGAUGUUCUUUGCAACAACAUUAUUUCUCCUGCCUAGGGGAAAAAAAAAACAAGGAAUGAUCCAGAGGAACCGUUGUUCUUCAGAUUUUCAGUUGUUCAAUAUGAUAUGUAAUAUGAAUGGCCCCUUCUAAGGGCUCACUAAAAUAAGGAAUAGCCUUGCACAGAAGAGUUGCUGAUUAUUAUUUGAAUGAAAGCCAAGUCACAGAGGAAAAGAAAUCUAGUUAGAUAAAAUAAUUUAGAGAUUAGUACUUUUCUACAUGUACGCUCUGCU
rnacentral:lncRNA from 1 species